rnacentral:rRNA from 1 species
UACGGGGGGGGCAAACGUUGCUCGGAUUUACUGGGCGUAAAGGGCGCGUAGGCGGCUUGACAAGUCACUUGUGAAAUCUCCGGGCUUAACUCGGAACGGCCAAGUGAAACUGUCAUGCUAGAGUGCAGAAGGGGCAAUCGGAAUUCUUGGUGUAGCGGUGAAAUGCGUAGAUAUCAAGAGGAACACCUGAGGUGAAGACGGGUUGCUGGGCUGACACUGACGCUGAGGCGCGAAAGCCAGGGGAGCAAACGGG